rnacentral:rRNA from 1 species
UACGAAGGGGGCUAGCGUUGCUCGGAAUUACUGGGCGUAAAGCGCACGUAGGCGGCUCUUUAAGUCGGGGGUGAAAUCCUGGAGCUCAACUCCAGAACUGCCUUCGAUACUGAAGAGCUUGAGUCCGGGAGAGGUGAGUGGAACUGCGAGUGUAGAGGUGAAAUUCGUAGAUAUUCGCAAGAACACCAGUGGCGAAGGCGGCUCACUGGCCCGGUACUGACGCUGAGGAGCGAAAGCGUGGGGAGCAAACAGG